AGAACGAACGCUGGCGGCAUGCCUAAUACAUGCAAGUCGAACGAACUCUUCGGAGUUAGUGGCGCACGGGUGCGUAACGCGUGGGAAUCUGCCCCUUGGUUCGGAAUAACAGUUGGAAACGACUGCUAAUACCGGAUGAUGACGAAAGUCCAAAGAUUUAUCGCCCAGGGAUGAGCCCGCGUAGGAUUAGCUAGUUGGUGAGGUAAAGGCUCACCAAGGCGACGAUCCUUAGCUGGUCUGAGAGGAUGAUCAGCCACACUGGGACUGAGACACGGCCCAGACUCCUACGGGAGGCAGCAGUAGGGAAUAUUGGACAAUGGGCGCAAGCCUGAUCCAGCAAUGCCGCGUGAGUGAUGAAGGCCUUAGGGUUGUAAAGCUCUUUUACCCGAGAUGAUAAUGACAGUAUCGGAGAAUAAGCCCCGGAUAACUCCGCGCCAGCAGCCGC
rnacentral:rRNA from 1 species